CAUUUCAAAAAUGUCAAAUUUAUAUUACCAGAAGUAUGAUCAUUAUAUGUGUUGUCACGUGUAGUCACUGUAAUUACAGUCAUUCAUGCUAGGGCAAUGGUAUGGAGAGAAAUCAGAAAGACAACAACAUGAUUUUUUAUCAUCAAGAAAUUAAAUUUUAUCCUUUGGAAAUUCUACAGUCUAUAGAUAAGAAUAUUUUAGUAUAGUCUUUAGUUGGAAGAAAUUUAAAAGAAACAAAGUGACGGUUUAAAAUACCUUUACGGUUAUAUAUCUUAAUAAUGCUUAUAAAGUCUGUGUUUACCUCAGGUCUUUGCAUUCCUUGAAGAAUAAAAUGAGAAAUGUUUAACUCAUGAAAAUGCAUUUCUAACAUAGUCUUUAAAAUCUUUUCAAAGUGCUAAGUCAAUAAUAAUCUUGAUGCUUGGACACACUAAAAUUCUGAAUACUUCUUUAAAUUAAAAGUUAAUGUGUACUUUUAUUACCUUUUUACUAAAUGGGUUCAAACAAUAUAAAAAUUAUAAAGGUAGUAGUAUAUAAUGUAUUUCAAAGUGGCAAAUUAUAUAUUGCCAAAGUACUAUAAAAAAGUGUUUUCUUCAAGUGUCCUCACAAAAAACAGUAUUGAAUUUGAGUAUUUCAAAAUAACUCUUUUCUAGUAGAAAACACGGCAAACAAAUUGAAAGAGGUACUUGUCAUCAGAUCUUAUAGGAUAAAGUGUUUCCAUUAACAUCUGCCUCCUGUAAACACACUUGUAAGCUGAAUCCAGAAAAUACCAUCGUGGUGCAUACAGACUGUAAUAAUUAUUGUGACUAAAAAAAUAGAUCAUGUGAGAGAAAAGAGUGACCAAAAAGAAGUGAAAAAUUAGAGAAAAAAAGUAGAGGCAUAGCACACACUGGUGUGCAUAUAUCAGGAACUACAGGAAUAGGGGGGGGGAGCAGAAAAAGCAGAAGGGAACAAGGAUAUCCAUAGGCACAACAAAAGGAUUGCUCAUUAACAAAGUGAUUGUGGAAUUCAGAAGAGCAGAAUGGGAGAGGUAGAAAUAUUUCCUCUUUGAUGUGAACUACACAUAUAGAAAUAAUUAAUAUUUACCAAAUGAAAUCAAUUUACAUCAGGAAAGUUUUAGUAUCAGUUUAAGUUUACAAUUUCUCAUCAAGAUUAUGAUGAUCAAAUAUAUUAGAUAUGAAUUUUCUAUAUAAACCAUAAAAUGCUACACUCAUGCUAAGAUUGACAGUAUUUCUAUUUCAAAAUACAUAGCAAACCUCUCAUUCCAGAGAGGGCUACAAAUGAGGUCACCAGGAAAAAGAAAUAUUACCUUCUGGUCCAUUUCCAAAUUCUAUCAGAAUAGUAGAGUCAGGCCAAGAGCUGGCUUUGAUCCAGAGCAGACACCAGUUAAGUGGACGAAUAAAACAGUGAACAGUGUUAAAUGAGAACUCUGUAAAGAAAAAUUCCUCAAGAAAUUGUGGAAGGAAUAAAUUCCCAUCUAUGCAUAAUACUUAUAUUAUUGGCUGAAAACUAUGAUACAUGUGUUUCCUAUCUUGUGUACUCUAGGAUUUGAAGAGGGGAAAAAAGGAGGCAGAGAAGAAAGAAAGAAAGAAAGAAAGAAAGAAAGAAAGAAAGAAAGAAAAAAAGAAAGAAAUAAAGAAAGAAAGAAACAACUAAAGAAGAUUCAGAAAAGCCCAAGCAUAUAUUUUCCCUUCAGUAACAAUCUCAAGCAUCAAUAGAUACAAUAUGCAUGAGAAUAAUGUGCAUUUCUAUCAGCACUGUAAAGCUAGCGGAGUAAGGCUUGGCAAGACUAAAUGACUAGUAUAAGGCCACUUGUUCAAUGGUAACGAGGCAAUAUUUUAGAAUAUGCUUGUAAUAUAUCAAAUCCCUGAUAUUUUUCUUUUAAAAAAAACCCUUCUACAGAAAGACAACAUAAGAAGACUGAGAAAACAUCAAACAACCACAUAAAAUACAACAUUUUUGCACUCUACUGAUACAAUGGAUACUGUGAAAGAAGGUAAGAUAAAUGGUAAAAGUUAAAACACGAGUUCCUCUAUCUCUGAUCAUUUAAUGUUCAAAGGGAUCACAUUCCUGUUCAUUACAUGAGACUCAUAUGUAACCACUAUGAAAUACUCUAAAAAAUUACACCAAAGGUGUACAAAAAAAUUGAAAUGCAGUUGAAAAGGAAAGAGAAAUAAGCUAGACAAAAAAAAGACUACUUUUAUAAAUAAUGAAUUAAGGCUCAGCUCGGUUAAGAGACUUGCUCACAGUCAGAGAACUUAUCAGUCCCAGACUCAAGAUGAGAACUGAAAUCCCUAAAUUGGUAAUCCACAGAUGCGUUCCUUUGCAAGGCAGCAAGAAACAACUGCAGGCAAGCAAGCGCUCCUUCCAGAACAUUCUCACAUUUGAGUGUGAUAAAAACAACAACAUCAACAACAACAACAAAGUGAGCCACAGGGCAGGCAGGGAACAGGCAGAGUCGGUUCAUACCAAAAACGGGGUGCCAGUCACCGUGAUAAGAUCUGUGUCUUUCUGAGACCCAUGGCUUCCUGUUGGGUGGGAGAAUCCGAACUGGGUUUCUUCCUCGUGUCCAAAGAAGUCAGAUUCGGGGUGCACGUUCCACUCGGCUUUGGCUGGGGUCAGUAGCUCGGAGACACUGUUUUCACAGAGGGUGCUGGAGGGGGUCAGAGCUUCCGUGUCCACAGUCAACUUAUUGCUGGGUGUCAAAGCCUGCGGCUCCAGGCUUGAGUUUUUCAGGGCCAAGGAGCCAAAGAGCCCCACGUUCCCGGCGGAGACAUCGUCCAUGUCCAAGGGGCUGUGCUGGUAGCCAGCCACCGAGGUUCCGAAGAAGAGAGAGGUAUCCAGACUCUGGGGGAGGUCACUGGGGGCCCCCCUCAAGGCCCGAGGCUCGGCCGCUUGCCCCAAGGAAUGGUUGUUGCUGUUAUUAUCCGCAGGGAGACUUCCCGCGAGGCUCGAGUUCACAGAGGCCACAUCAAUAGUCAAGAUGCCAGAGUUGACCAAGGCCGUGUCCAGCACCGCGGCGGAACCGUGGCCAGGCACAUCCGAGAACAGAGACACGAGCUCGGCCCCACUGAGAUCGCUCUGCCCCGGGCUGGUGAGCUCACUGCUGGGCGUGAGAGAGUUGGCAGCUUCUAGCUGGGCCAGGAGGUCCUGGCUGAGGUUGUGCCUUUUGGUCAUGUGGGUCUUCAUGCUGUGCUUGGACGUGAAGAGCUUGUUACAGGUGGGGACCGGGCAGCGGCUCUUCCACGCACCCACGUCCUGCAAGUGCUUCUUGGAGUGGAUGUAGAGGCUGCUGCGAGCCGAGAAGCGGGCACAGCAGCCCUCCACGGGGCACACGAAGGGCUUGGUGCCCAGGUGGGUUAUGCUGUGGCCUUUCAGGUGCUCGGCCCUGGUGAAGGACUUGCCGCAGCCCUCGACGGGACAGGUGAACCUGCGGUCGUCCUCGUGCUUCCGCUUGUGCCUUAAGAGCUUGGACAUGCUGGUGAAGUUCCAGCCGCAGCCGUCGAAGUCACACAGGAAGGGUCUCUCCCCGGUGUGGCUGCGCAGGUGGAUCUUGAGCCUGCAGGCCUUGUCGUACUGCUUGCUGCAGCCAGGGAAGGAGCAGGCGAAGAGUUCCUGUUCCCUGAAAUGGGCGCGGUUGUGCGAGAACAGGGCGCUCACCGUGAUGAAGGUCUUCUUGCAGCCCGAAAACGCGCACUGGUAGGGCCUCUCGGGCUCGAAGUGGCUGCGCUGGUGGGUGCUGAGCUUGGCCUGCGUGGGGAAGCUCUCCUCGCACACCUCGCAUUUGAAGGAGUUCUCCUGCUCGUGCCCCUUCAUGUGCGCCUUGAGGUUGUAGACGGUGGUGAAGCUCUUGCCGCAGCCCUGCACCGGGCAGCCGAAUGGCCGCAGCUUGUCGUGCGACUGCAGGUGCCGCUUGAGCUUGUAGGAGGUGGUGAAGGUCCAGCCGCAGCCGCUGAGCGGGCACUUGAAGGGCCGCUGGCCCUGGCUGCUGCUGUGCGUCAGCAGGUGCACCUUCAGCUGGUGCUUCUUGGCGAAGGUCUGGCCGCACUGCGCCUCCGGGCACAGGUACAGCACCACGCCCGGGCCCGGGCCCGGGCCCGCGGGCCCGCGGGGGCUCUGCGCGGCGGCGGCGGCCGGGGCCUCGGCCUCCUCCUCCGGGGGCGCCGGGCAGGCCGCGGGUUCCGCCGGCUCCGCCAGCAGGAGGUCCGGCGGCAGCUCGGGGCAGUCGCCCAGCUGCGCCCCGGCGGCGGCGGCGCGUGGGGGCCUGACAAGCCAGAGAGGCCGGGGCUCGGUGCACCCCGCCGCCACCCGCCGGGCAGCCGCCGCCACCGGCGCCCUGCGGUGUCCCGCGAGCCGGGAGCAGCCUCGGGAUUUCCAUCUCGGCGUCGGUGAGGCUCGGCUGGAACCAGAGCCGAGGCGGAGGCGCGACCCC
ensembl:lincRNA